rnacentral:rRNA from 1 species
CCUACGGGAGGCUGCAGUGGGGGAUAUUGCACAAUGGGGGGAACCCUGAUGCAGCGACGCCGCGUGGGUGAAGAAGCGCCUCGGCGCGUAAAGCCCUGUCAGCAGGGAAGAAAAUGACGGUACCUGAAGAAGAAGCCCCGGCUAACUACGUGUCAGCAGCCGCGGUAAUACGUAGGGGGCAAGCGUUAUCCGGAUUUACUGGGUGUAAAGGGGGCGCAGAGGGCGAUGCAAGCCAGGAGUGAAAGCCCGGGGCUCAACCCCGGGACUGCUCUGGGAACUGGGUGGCUGGAGUGCAGGAGGGGCAGGCGGAAGUCGUGGUGUAGCGGUGAAAGGCGUAGAUAUCAGGAGGAACACCGGUGGCGAAGGCAGCCUGCGGGACUGCAACUGACGUUGAGGCCCGAAGGCGUGGGGAGCAAACAGGAUUAGAUACCCCUGUAGUC